UACGAAGGGGGCUAGCGUUGCUCGGAAUCACUGGGCGUAAAGCGCACGUAGGCGGCUUUCUAAGUCAGGGGUGAAAUCCUGGAGCUCAACUCCAGAACUGCCUUUGAUACUGGAGAGCUUGAGUCCGGAAGAGGUGAGUGGAACUCCGAGUGUAGAGGUGAAAUUCGUAGAUAUCGGGAGGAACACCAGUGGCGAAGGCGGCGACCUGGACGGACACUGACGCUGAGGCACGAAGGCCAGGG
rnacentral:rRNA from 1 species